ACAACGCACCGCGGACAGCUCCGAAAGCGACGAGUCUUGCAGUGUCUUCCGGCCCGUGCAUUAUUUUCAUAAUCACGGGCCGGGGGUGUUUUGGAAGCCGGCAGUAAUUUCGUUCACGUGCAGUUAUAGUCCCUGCGCCGUAUUCUUAUACGCGCAUAAAACAAAAGUGUGUUGUUAUCUUUGUCUGUGUCAAUUAAUUGUGAUUAAUUAUUUAUCUAGAUUCCUGGUACGGUGAAUCUUCGGCGACAGGUAAACGAUUUUAAUAUAGUUUAUAAUACCCAGAUCUGUGCCAUCAAUCAGGAAUGAUUUCCGAAGGACAGUUGGGUCCCUAGUUUUGUAAUCUAUUUUGUAACCUUUAUUGAAUUUUCACUCGCGAAUCCCAAUAAU